GUUUAGUGUUUGGCCACCCUGUUACAAAGUUAAAAUCGUCGCCAAAAAAUCCAUCCUUCAUCAGAAUGCUUUGCUUGUUCUAGCAGUCAUACACAUGUUGAGCAAUGUGAAGUAAGUCUACGGUUCCUGUUCCAUGCGCGUUCACCAAUAAUGGCGGCACCCAAUACGUAUCCGGCAUGCCCACGUUUCCCUACACAUUUCAAAAUCAAAUGUGUGGCACCUACGGCCGUUAUCCAACCAAAUGACAUUGGGUUCUAUCUAGGAUGAAUACUACUGGCAAGUUCUUCGUCAACUAGAUGUGCCUUCUCCAGUGUUUAAAAAAUGGUAAUAAUUCAAUUUACAUGAAUUUAAAUUUUUAUAUUGUUUCAGAGUUGCUUAUUAGUGAUAUUCAAAUGUUCUUAAAUGCUGAUAGUUACUAGUGAUUGUCUUGAAGCAUUGCUUGUCAGAAAUUAUUUUCUGGAAAUAUAUUGAUAUCAAGAUA